UACGUAGGGUGCGAGCGUUGUCCGGAAUUACUGGGCGUAAAGCGCACGUAGGCGGCUUUGUAAGUUAGAGGUGAAAGCCCAGGGCUUAACCCUGGAAUUGCCUUUAAGACUGCAUCGCUAGAAUCGUGGAGAGGUGAGUGGAAUUCAUGGUGUAGCAGUGAAAUGCGUAGAGAUCAUGAGGAAGACCAGUGGCGAAGGCGGGUCUCUGGACAGUUCCUGACACUGAGGCACGAAGGCCAGGGGAGCAAACAGG
rnacentral:rRNA from 1 species